rnacentral:lncRNA from 1 species
GGCUGCACCUGCAGCAUAUGGAAGUUCCCAGUCUAGGGGUCAAAUCUGAGCUGCAGCAGCUGGCCUACACCACAGCCACAGCAGCGAUGGAUCCAAGCAGUGUCUGUGAUCUACACCACAGCUCAUGGCAACGCAGGAUCCUUAACCCACUGAGCAAGGCCAGGGAUCAAACCCACAUCAUCGUGGAUACUGGUCAUUACCGCUAAGACACAAUAGGAAAUCCCUUAACCCAUAAAUUUUUAACAUUAGAACAAAUGAAUACAACUGAACAUAUGGUUGGAGAGGUAGCUUUUUUCUACAUUGACAGAAGAUUAAGGAAUGCACUGAUAAUUUAUUAGGUAACAAAGUGCCAUUGAGAGUUAUUGAGCAAGAAAAUAAUAAAACAAUCAGCACUGCUUUCAGGAAAGUAUAUAGAAUAAAAUUAAGUGAUAGAUAUUGACUGGAUUAUGAGGCCAGAAGACUAAUAUGUAGUACAGAUAAGAAAUAGUGAAGGUGGUGAACUAGAGCAGGUGGUGGCAAUAGAAUCUGAAGGAGGGUAUGGAUGUGAAAGGCAUUUAAAGCUAGAUUUUUUAACUUGUAGACAUCCAGUUGUUUAUCAUUUGUGAAAUUGGCUAAAUAUUCAAACAUAUAUCCAUAAGCAGAAUAUUAUGCAGCCAUUAAAUGUUAUUCCUCUUUUUAUGCAUUAAUAUGUAAAGGUUUCCAUAACACAUUGCUGAAGAAAAUUUAAAGCUAAAAAAAAAUUAAUUGUAUUAUCUAAUUUAUAUAAAAUAUUGUUUAUGUGGGUAUGUGUACAUAUAUGUAGACAAUUAUUGAUAUAUUCCUUGGAAAAUGUCAAACAAAAUUUGUCCUUCCCUUUUAAAUUACUUGAAUUUUUCUGCAGUAGCAUAUAUUGUCUUUGUUAUCAGAAAACACCAAGUCAUUUUCAUUUUUGGAGCAAGAAUACCUUUAACUGUAACAGUGUGAAAAUUACUACAGGGAUGUAAGUACAUAUUCAUGGGAUAUUGGUAGGCUGAGGAGAAGUAAGUCAGGAUAGAAAACUUCCACCUGAGCAGAUCUUAUAAGAAUGAAUAAGAGGCCAUGAGGCAGAAUUUGAAGAAUGUGUUCCAGAUAGAAGCUUUGCAAAAAGAAGGCUAAUGGAAACAUACCAUUCUCUGGGAUCUUAAAGUAGAAUCUUUACUCUAGAAAAUUAUUCAAUACAAUCCUUUAAAGACUAUAUUAGCUCCCUUAGAACGUCUCAAAUAGAAUAUAUUUUAUAAAAUAUCAAUUUGUACUGGAACGAAGAUGUAGUAUAAAUCAGGAUCCAUUUGUGAUGGAAUUUCAAGGGACACAGAAGAAUACUUUUAGCAUUUUAUAUGGUAAGAAGACAAAUCUCAGUUCCAUUUUCCAGAAAUGUCAUUUUCUUCAUGUUAAGAAACAUGUCUACUAGCACUGGGUAUUAUUUAAAAAGAGUCAUAUCAUUAGGGUAUUAUCAAACUGGCCAUUAUAGAAGAAAUGGUAGAAACUGCUAAAUGAACAAGUAGACUAAGAAUCUAGAAAUGAAAUAACUGGUGAUUCCACAAUUUAGCUAAUUAAAGAUGGAAGAGAAAGGAAUAAAGACAAAGAAAGUAUCACAGUGGUUGGGGAGCUUGCAACCAAGAAAAUAUACCAGUGAUAUAAUAUUGGUAUAUUUUUGUACUUAGGAAUAUGAGAAAUCUCACUGGAAUCAACUUAUUAAACCAUAGUCAAACUUCUGUUAAUAAAGCCUACGUAGCUUUAUACAAUUUAUAAAAUGAACCCCUUUGUUUACACAUGCAUGUAAACAAAGUGGUUCAUAUUUUAUUUUGUUCACUUCCUGCCAAUAAUGUCAUGGCUUUUGUUAUUACUAUCUCAACACGUCAUAUGUACGUUAGAGUUUUUGUUUGCACAUACAUAUUAAUUUUACAUAUAUAUUUUAUUUAUAUUAUAGGUAUUUGCAAUUGUUACUUGUUUAUCUUGAAUUGUUAGAAAGGAGUAGAAAUAAGCACAGGGGUUUAAAAAAAUAAAGUCUUUCCCAGUUUCCACUCCCUCUCAGUUUCACUGCUGAAUUCUACAAUAGUUCUAGCCCAAGCAAAAAGCGAACUUGCUUAGAAAUGAAGCUCCAUACGCUGCCCAUUUCAACAUCUUUAUAGACUUUAAAGCCAGAAAUCAUAUACAUCCUGUGACACUUCAAUCUCUACAUAAUUGGUAUUUUAUUGUAAUUAUUAUCAUUUCAAAGUUUUAAACCACACUGUAAUUCUCCUACUCUUAUUAUAGUUGAAUUUAAAUAAUUAUAUUUCUUCUCUUUCUUUUCUGCUACUCUAAAUUUCAUAAGGGCUGGAAUCUUGUCUAUUUUUUUCUAAUACACAGCAAGGACUUAGUAAAUGAAUAAAUUAGAAUUAGAGUAUUAUCAUUAAUUACCUUAAUAUUUUCCUACUAUAUGCCUAUCAUUGUAUUAAGCAUUGCUAUCUUAAAACCUGGGAAAUACAAUACCCAAUUAGGGUUGUUUAUACACAUGAUAAAAUAGAGUGAAAUAUAAGAAAAGUUUCUGAUUCAGUAAGAGUGAACUAAUUUUUAGACUGUAUUUCCUGAUCCUAUAUAUGUGACAAUAAAAGUAUUUUUAGAUAUCAUAAGGAUUGUCUUAAAACUAACCAAAAUCAACUUACAAAGAAAAAUAAUUUAGAAAAGAUAUUGUGCAACUCUGUGUUUUAAAUGAAUACAUUUUCUUAGCUUUCUAAAGAGUUUGUGAAUACUUUCCCUGACUCUUGGAACACAUAUAAUUUUGAUAGCGAACUGUGCAAUAUACUGCACUUUUUGGAAGAAGUGUCAUGAAAUCAAGUACACAGGGUGCCACAAUUCCAAAAGUUGUGGAACUCCAUGACUGAGCUUGUGUCCUAUUAAUAUCCCAACAACUGCAUGAUGAGUAAAAAGGCAAGAAAAUGUGAUUACAGCAAUAAAACUGAAUAACUUCUUUCACUAACUUUAUUUCCCUAAAUUGACUUUUAUUUGAGCUUUCUAGUCAAAAUUAUCACAAUAGUCUUUAUACUUGUGCUUGACUGCAGAAGUAAGUACUGGGGAAUUAAUUUUAUAUAAAUGAUUAUUUCUUAAGACCAUAGAGUAUUAGCAAAGAGAUGCCAACUGUUUUUUGAAAGUGUUGGAUUAAGUGUUUUCUCAGUCAAUCUUUUUCCUUCAGGUGACAGCUCUUAGAAGGCUGUGACUGAUUGCAUGAAAGGAUAUUUUAUGAAAGGUUGACAAAAUCAGCAAUUAAAAUACCUUAGCUUCUGUAAGAUCCUGAAUUAUCUAAAUGAAUACAAGGAUUAAGUAAGAAACUAUCUAAUGGUGACAUAAUAGAAUUAUCUUGUCAUAAUCUCUAUUUUUACAAACUUAUUUGGAAUCAGUGUAUGUGAGUAAAACCAGCUUAAGUCCUUUCAAAAACAAGAAGUGACCUUGCUACUUCAUAUGAAUGAAUGUAUGCUGUCUCCUUUAAGGGACUUUCAUCAGCUCACAUUUCACCUACAAUUGCUCAUUAUACAGCAUAUAUAUUAGGUGGCACACUGGAAGACUGUACAAAGAGGCUUUUGGUGAAGAACAAGGAAGUACAAAGAUUUAUAGAAAUAAUGGUACAAGAAAGGAUGGAUGGUUGGUAGAGAGAACUUAAAAUGUGACCAUUGCCAAAUGGAAAUAUAUAUGAAACAUCUGACAUAUGUAUUCUGUUUUUUUUUUUUUUUACUGGAUAAAAUUAUGUGGGUUAAUUAGAUCUUUGCCCUGCUAUACAGAUAGAGCCACUUAGAUAAAAUUUAGCUCUGUUAAUAACUCUUUUCUGGAAAAAAUCCCCUAUUUACAUUAUUCUAGGUAGAUUAGGGAGGGGCAGUAGUUUCUCCUGAGCCUGCAGGAUCUUAACUGCCUUUAACUCAAAAUAAUUCACAUACCAAAAUAGUACAACCUGGGGAGGUCUGUACUGAACCACUACAAACACAUGAAUACUGAAAUCAUUCAGGUCGACCUGUAAAUUUCCAAGACUGAGAGAUUUACUAAAGCCUUCAAUAGGUAAUAGUGUGGGGGCAUGCCUGGGGUAAUGAUUUGGUAGUAUACAGUAUUUCAAGGCUAAUGAAAAAUGUGAGCAAAAUGUUUAACACACUUAAAGAAUUUUGAAUUUUGUAAUGAAGAAUGUCAUCUUAGACAUCUUGCUACAUAUAGUUUGGGUACAAUUUUUAUUUUGGUACCUUUCGCCCAUAGUAAUUUUCAACUCUGAUCAUAUUUGUAUAUUACUUCAAUCAUACAAUACUUUUGUAAAGAAAUUUCUAGAACCAGAACAUAGAGAACCCAUUUUAAUGGAAGAUAGUAAGAGCUCAACUUAGUCUUCAAAAAAAUAUUGAUUUUUUGUACAUCUAUUUCCUUGCCAGUCUCAAAUUGGUUAUUGCUAAGGACAUUAAAGGACUUUGGCAGAGAAAGCAAAAAGCACAGCAGUGUGAGAAAUAGGAGGAUACAAAAUAAGUGACAAUGAUUCUUAAAAACCACAGGGUCCUUUGAUAAAACAAAUUCAAUGUAAGAAGCAAAACGUUAGCAUCCUUUAUUUUUAGCAAGUCCCUUGAUAGAUAACAAAAACCUUUAACAUGUCAGUCUAUGCCAAAGAAAAAACAUUCUAAAAUCUAUACUUUUAUUUUGCAACAAAAAAUAGUCCUGUUUAGUCAAAGGGAAACUAUGAAAGAACUGUCCCCUGACAAUAGUCCUCUUUAGGGAGCAAAAACUAAAAGGGAAUGGGUGAGAGAGAGAGGGAGUGUGGAGAGACACUAAGAGAGGUGUGUUUGUGUGUGUACUUGCGUGUGUACUUGUGCACAUACCUGUGCAUGCAUUCGUUAGUGAGAAUGACUUGAUAAGGCACAGAGAGAAGACUAAAAACGGUUUAGUUAUAAAAGAAACAAUUAAAAAAAUAACAUUGCUCAAAACCUAUUGGUAAAAUUGUAGGAUAACAUUAUAUCAUAGAGACUAAAAAUACAAAUCAAACAAAAAUGAAGAAAAAGGAGAGGCUGAGAUUGAGUUAAUAAAAGGAUCCCAGCCUUCAAUUUAAUUAAAAGGUAGACCUCUAGUUUUUUGUGAAUUUAUAUGCUCUACUCUACCCAAAAUGCCAUAUUUUGAUAAGAAAUGUGCAGAUAAGGAUUUCCAUGCAGUAGGAAAUAGG